CGGCCGCUGGAAAUAGAGCCGGGAUGUUGUUUACAUGACGGAUCCGGCGGGAGGAGUCUGCGAGGAGGAGGCGGAGAGAGGAAGAGCGGAGUCCCCGCGGCGGCGGUAGCGGGCCGGGGUGCGGGUGAGCGCCGCGCGAUCCCCGAAGCCAGGACACGGGAGCCUAGGAAGUGCAUCUUUCGAUCCUUCACUCCAAGGGGCACCUUCGAAGGGGGUGACGUCACUGACGGACGCGGUGACUGACAGGCUGCCCUGGCUCAGUUAUCACAGUGCUGAUGCUGUCCAUUCUAAAGGUACAGUACUGUGAUAACUGAAGGAUGGCAGCCAUCUUGCCUUCCUCCCGAGAAGUCCCAUCACAGAAGGCGAAAGAGGAGUGGGAAGCAGGACUCCGGGACAGGACCAGACACUUCACACCGCUCCUGUGUUCACUGCUCUUCCAGGCUCCGUUUCCAUUUGGUAACAGGGAAUAAAACAAUGUAGCAGUUUGCAUAGGGUAUGAAGACCUUUAGGCCGAGGACAUACAAGGUCUGUGGAACCUUUCCUGUCUGGGAAGAUUGACACUAGGAAAGUCCUAAGGACAAAACAAUAUAUCUCAAACUGAGAGAAUCGAUCCAUUUUAUAAACGAAAAAAGUAACUUAAUUGACAGGUUUGCAUUUGUUCCUUCACUGUUGAAUGGUCAGAGUUAAACAGGGAAUGGCAUUAUGUGUCAAACAAUAUCAAUGUCAUAUGAAUAAAAUUCUGUCUGAU
rnacentral:lncRNA from 1 species